UGGAGUCUUUUUUGGAAUUGUACCAGUUUGUCUAUACGCAGACGUGCUAUACAAUCGAGAUGAUGGUGAUGUACUCCUAGAUGUCGCUGAUCAGAAGAUAAAUAAAAAAAAUGAGAAUUUGGGAGUUUGUAGAUUGAAACACAAGCACACUAGCGCCGCAGUUUGCCCUACAAUAUCAUAUACGGCAAGCUGCAGAACUAUUCAUUCAGUAUAUAUCAUGCAGCUUAACUGUCAAUCUGCAAUCCCCCUGAUUCCUUUUUAAUCAGUUAGAAAUGUUUACAAAAUUAUAUUCACAUGUUCAGACAUGUAUUUUUUGUGUAAUUGAAAAGGUGCAAUUUUUUGGAUGUUGAUACGAGUUUGAGCGAGUUCUUCGAGUUUGAUGUGAGUUUUGUAUGAGUUUUGCGAGUUCGAGCAUUCGCGAAUAUCCCCAAGUUUGGACCAAUGCACGAAAUUGAACUUAGUGUAUGCAUGAUAUUGGAUACAAUGAAGAACUUGUCAAAAUGGUCCAACCGUCGCUGAGUUGAAAGCAAUAUUUUUUCGAUGUUUAAGGAAAGUGUGAUUGCUUUUUGCAGUUUGUUUAAAUUCAAAACAUUUUACAUUUUUACAGUGUUUCAGUUAAUAAUCUUUAAUCUUAUCUUUGUUAUUAUCUGAUACUGCUUCAUCAGUGAAAGCUUUAUGCAAAAACGUGGCCCAGGAGAAUCCAAUACUAUUCAACGAAUGUGGUAGUGUAAGCUCGAUACAAAUCAACCAGCAAUGUCUCGACUCCCUCUUCGACAGAGAAAGUCUCCGAGACAUCAGAUUUAUUUACUGAAAUAUCUCAUUCAAAUUCGGCAGAAAGAGAUUUGCAAAUAAACCAAAGCCUAGAAAUGGACAGCUCUUCGGCCACUGGGAAUUCGAUCACUAUAAGCAAGCAUUUUCAAGAGGCAAUGACCCACCAAAAUAGUUAUCACCUCAAUGCGAUCAGUUCACUCCAAACGUCAAAAGAUGAUAUUGUAAUUAUCGCAGGUGACUUCAAUCUACCGGGAGUUAAAUGAAUCGACAAUGAAGAUGGGUUUGAUUUCCUACCUAUGGUCGGAGAUUCAGUGAGUGAAAAAGCGAAUAUAUCGACAGCAGUCACGAAUACUAUGAUCGAAAAGAGGUUUUUCCAUACACGUUGGACAAUCGAACAUUGUACUCUUUGUUGUGUGGACUGAAAAUCGCACCGAAAAAGCAAGGCAAAUACAAACAAAUUUCCAUCACGGAGAAAGAGUUCAGAAAAUAAAAGGAGUAUUAUUGGAACGAAUUCUUCGAUAUGCAAAAAAUCUAUCGGCUCGGUCGCAGUAGAAAAAUUUCCGUUUCCGAUUUCUCUCAAAUGGACAGGUAUCGCUACAAUUUGAUGUUGACAAAACGAAAUCGAAACCAGUUGACGAAAAAGCCAUUGUUCAAAACUACAGAAAUUUUGUCAAUGAAAGUGGUACUGAUCCGGGUGGAACGCAACAACAGUACAUAACAUCGAAACUGGCAAAGAGGCAAUCUACGUGCAUUUUUCAUUUGAUAAACCGAAGUUAUGCCAUUGUCAUUUUCAUUGUUAUCCAAACGGUUUUCUUUGUUCUGUUCUGUUUCGUUUUGUUUCGUUUCUUAGGUGAACUACACGAUCAGUAGCAAACAGUAUCAUUACUGGAAGAAGCAAAAGGUCCGAAAUCGACAGGGAAAGCGGUGGACCAAGGAUUUUGUGAAGGAAGAGAGGCAGGAUCGUGAAAAUCGUGCGCUCUAUCCGGUGAUGCCAUCGCCAUUGAGUAGGCACUGGAAGGACUACAUUCGACAUCGACUCAAAAUGACGUAAAGUGGCACUGCCAUAUAUACGACAGACAAAUAAACGCGACUGAAUUUUGACAAAUACGUUCGAUCAAAAAGUGUGACCGAUAGCAUAGCCGGAAUGUUGACCAACCAUCAGCCAUCUUUUAUGCAUUUCGGAGCUGUUCAAAUGUCGCCCAGUUCACAAAAAUACACUGCGUUGCCCGGGCAAUCGGAAGAUGAUACGGAGCUACUAAAGUAUCCUGGUUGUGUGGUUAAUAUGGUCGACGAGUAUUUCACUUCUCAAACAUGUGCCAAGUGCUUUGGCCGUUUUGAUCGACGCACGAAACGACAUCGGUUCAAAGUCUGCCAUUAUGUCGGCCGCAAUUGGAACAAGCAAUGCUGCCAUCAAUUAUUGUGCAAGCUCAACAAACGAAAGAUGAGGGUAGAGAAGCUGAAAUUGUUUUUGCUUGAGAAAGAAGCGGAAGAGGGUAACGGAAAUCAAGCGGUCGGCAAUUAUGUCCCACAUCCCAAUCAACUAAAUCCAGAUUUACUCCCAAAUAUAGCGAUCUACUAUAGGACAUGGCAAGUAAAUGGGUCUAGUGGAAUUUUGCAAUACGUGAACGUCAAUCGAGCCGGUGAGAUGGAAGUUGUUGAGCCACGAGUGCACAAGACGACAUGGCAUCAUGACAUUGCCGCUGCAAAAUGUAUCCUGAUCAAAUGACACUGUAACUUAUUUGGGUAUACGUUACUCGAAACAUUUCAGAGGCCAUGCAACCAGCGAGCUGCUGUCAACAACUAACAAGCAUCAUGCAUCGUCGUUCACGCCAUUCACAUUGAAUAAUUUAAAAAUUAAAAUAUAACAGUAAUGUUAUUUCCGCUAUGCCUGAUUGUUGUGGUAUAGUAGUCGUACAUACUUAACUAGGAGGGCAGAAGUACCCAUAUGGGUAUGAACCCAUAUAAUAAAAAAAUGUUUGCUAUAUUUUUCACUUCAA